rnacentral:lncRNA from 1 species
UGUGUUAUGUCAUCGCAAUGUUUCAUGACCUCCAAUAAUAUUUUUUUACUUCUGGUGCUGUUUCAUGUCUCCAACGUCUUAUGACAUCCUAUAUGACUUCCGGACAUAUUUUAUGACUUUUUACAGUAUUUCAUGAAUUCCAUGACUCCCAGCACUAUAUCAUGACCUAUUAUUUCAAAAUUCAGGGCAAGGCGACUACUGAUCCAGAAUCAAGUUUUAGAUGACUAAAUCUCCCAAAAUCGGUUCAAGGCGCCUUCAGAGGGUUCAAGGUGCCUUCAAG